rnacentral:lncRNA from 1 species
CCGAGGCCUAGAGUUAGGGUGUGCCAUGCAUGGUGCGCUAGGAUGGUGAAGUUUGUGGGUAAAAAGGCGGUGGUGGACGGAAAAGAUUGUGGUUUUGUGGUGGUAGGUUUGUCUAGGGAGAGGAGGCGGAGGAGUUCUAGAGGCCGAGCGCGGCGAAUGGUGAAGGAUUUUACUAUGAACUGGCCACCGAACCGGAGGCCUUUUACGUCGGAGGUGGGCUUGAAGGAGAAAUCUGAUGACUUGGUUGUUUUUGUUGUGGUUUGGUCAUUUGGGUGUUGGUGUUUUUGCUUCUUGUUUUUGUUUUUUUGUUUUUCUCCCAUUGGGGUUUUGUGGUGGGAGGAAUAGUGGUGGUUGAUGGUGGUGGACUGGUGGUGGUGGGUAUAUUGUGUUUGGUGUGUGUUAUGAUAACAAACUAUGCUAGUGUUUUUG